GCUAGCGGCCAUACCGCGCCGAAUACACCGGAUCUCUUUCGAACUCCGAAGUUAACCGUCGCAGGGCCCGGUCAGUACUGAACUGGGGGACCGUUCGGGAACACCCUUGGGUGCCGCUAGCU
rnacentral:rRNA from 1 species